rnacentral:rRNA from 1 species
CAGUAGCCGCGGUAAUGCGGAGGAUGCAAGCGUUAUCCGAAAUGAUUGGGCGUAAGGCGUCUGUAGGUGGCUCUUCAAGUCCGCCGACAAAUCCCAGGGCUCAACCCUGGACAGGCGAUGGAAAAUACCAAGCUGGAGUACAGUAGGGGCAGAGGGAUUUCCGGUAGAGCGGUGAAAUGCGUUGAGAUUGGAAAGAACACCAACGGCGAAAGCACUCUGUUGGGCCGACACUGACACUGAGAGACGAAAGCUAAGGGAGAAAAUGGGAUUAGAUACCCCGGUAGUCCCUGUCUCUUAUACC